rnacentral:rRNA from 1 species
AGCGAACGCUGGCGGCAGGCUUAACACAUGCAAGUCGAACGGGCACUUCGGUGUCAGUGGCAGACGGGUGAGUAACACGUGGGAACGUACCCUUCGGUUCGGAACAACUCAGGGAAACUUGAGCUAAUACCGGAUACGCCCUUCGGGGGAAAGAUUUAUCGCUGAAGGAUCGGCCCGCGUCUGAUUAGCUAGUUGGUGAGGUAAUGGCUCACCAAGGCGACGAUCAGUAGCUGGUCUGAGAGGAUGAUCAGCCACACUGGGACUGAGACACGGCCCAGACUCCUACGGGAGGCAGCAGUGGGGAAUAUUGGACAAUGGGCGCAAGCCUGAUCCAGCCAUGCCGCGUGUGUGAUGAAGGCCUUAGGGUUGUAAAGCACUUUCGUCCGGGACGAUAAUGACGGUACCGGAAGAAGAAGCCCCGGCUAACUUCGUG